GCUGGGCAUGGUGGUGCAUGCCUGUAAUCCCAAUUACUUGGGAGGCUGAGGCAAGAGAAUCACUUGAACCUGGGAGGCGGAGUUUGCAGUGAGCCAAGAUGGCACCACUGCACUCCAGCCUGGGCAACAGAGUGAGACUCUGUCUCAA
ensembl:misc_RNA Metazoa_SRP Metazoan signal recognition particle RNA